AUAAGGCAAGGAUAAGAAGAUCUUCACUCUCAUUGGCUAUAGGUCAUGACCAAUGAGUUUCAAGGGAUUGUCCAAGAGAAAACCGAAGGGGAAGCCACUUCUUUGGAGGCAUUCGAGGAUUUAGAGGGGAGAUUCAGAAAGCUUGUGUUUUGGGCUAUAAUUUUGGUGUAUAAAGUUUGUUAUUUGAAUUUUUUAUGAAGAAGUUAAAGUUGUUUGAAGUUAGGAUAUGAAUUGUUUACCAAUUGUCACUCUUUUAAGCAUACAGAAAGUUGUAGAAGGUUUUUCUAAAAAACAAAAGAUGUCGUUGAAAAGCUGGUUUGAAGAAAUAUAAUUUUUGUAUAAGAAUUGUUAACUUUGAGUUUGAAAUGAGAGAGUUAUGACUAUUUAAAGUCUAGAUGUGA
rnacentral:lncRNA from 1 species